rnacentral:rRNA from 1 species
GGAGGGGUGCGAGCGUUAAUCGGAAUUACUGGGCGUAAAGCGCGCGUAGGCGGGUCAGGUCAGUCGGGAUGUGAAAGCCCCGGGGCUUAACCUGGGAAUUGCAUUCGAAACUGCCUGGCUAGAGUAUGGGAGAGGGAAGUGGAAUUUCCGGUGUAGCGGUGAAAUGCGUAGAUAUCGGAAGGAACACCAGUGGCGAAGGCGACUUCCUGGCCCAAUACUGACGCUGAGGUGCGAAAGCGUGGGGAGCGAACAGGAUUAGAUACCCUGGUAGUCCACGCCGUAAACGAUGAGAACUAGAUGUCGGGAGGAUCUGCCUCUCGGUGUCGCAGCUAACGCGUUAAGUUCUCCGCCUGGGGAGUACGGCCGCAAGGUUG